rnacentral:rRNA from 1 species
GUCAUUGGAAACUGGGGAACUUGAGUGCAGAAGAGGAGAGUGGAAUUCCACGUGUAGCGGUGAAAUGCGUAGAGAUGUGGAGGAACACCAGUGGCGAAGGCGACUCUCUGGUCUGUAACUGACGCUGAGGAGCGAAAGCGUGGGGAGCGAACAGGAUUAGAUACCCUGGUAGUCCACGCCGUAAACGAUGAGUGCUAAGUGUUAGGGGGUUUCCGCCCCUUAGUGCUGCAGCUAACGCAUUAAGCACUCCGCCUGGGGAGUACGGUCGCAAGACUGAAACUCAAAGGAAUUGACGGGGGCCCGCACAAGCGGUGGAGCAUGUGGUUUAAUUCGAAGCAACGCGAAGAACCUUACCAGGUCUUGACAUCCUCUGACAAUCCUAGAGAUAGGACGUCCCCUUCGGGGGCAGAGUGACAGGUGGUGCAUGGUUGUCGUCAGCUCGUGUCGUGAGAUGUUGGGUUAAGUCCCGCAACGAGCGCAACCCUUGAUCUUAGUUGCCAGCAUUCAGUUGGGCACUCUAAGGUGACUGCCGGUGACAAACCGGAGGAAGGUGGGGAUGACGUCAAAUCAUCAUGCCCCUUAUGACCUGGGCUACACACGUGCUACAAUGGACAGAACAAAGGGCAGCGAAACCGCGAGGUUAAGCCAAUCCCACAAAUCUGUUCUCAGUUCGGAUCGCAGUCUGCAACUCGACUGCGUGAAGCUGGAAUCGCUAGUAAUUGCGGAAC